rnacentral:rRNA from 1 species
UACGGAGGGUGCAAGCGUUAUCCGGAUUCACUGGGUUUAAAGGGUGCGUAGGUGGGCCUGUAAGUCAGUGGUGAAAUCUCCGGGCUUAACCCGGAAACUGCCAUUGAUACUAUAGGUCUUGAAUCCCGUGGAGGUGAGCGGAAUAUGUCAUGUAGCGGUGAAAUGCUUAGAUAUGACAUAGAACACCAAUUGCGAAGGCAGCUCACUACACGAAGAUUGACUCUGAGGCACGAAAGCGUGGGGAUCAGACAGG